AUACACCCCCUGCAGUGA
rnacentral:tRNA from 1 species